UCUGUGUACAAAUUUAACAAAGAACCUUCUUACUUUGAUUAGGUUGGAGGAAAUCUUCAUUGCAUCAUUGCCUUUCAGAGACUUAACUGGCAAAGAUUUGGUCCUUGGAAUUUUCCAUUUGGAAACGUUAGGCAGGAUAAACAAUCUCAAACACAAGGACAAGGAAUUUCCAAAUCUGAGAGUGAAGACAAUAUCUCUAAGAAACAACACGGACGACUGGGUCGAUCUUUCAGUGCUGGCUUUCAUCAAGAAUCCACGUGGAAGAAAUCUAAUCUUCGUGAGAGGAGGAACAGUGGGUAUCAGAGUUAUAAUGAUUAUGAUGGAAAUGAUUAAAAUUAACUUUAGAUAAUAGAUAUGUUAAAGUUAGUUUUAAUCAAGACAUAUUAGGGAUCUAUUAGUCCUAGAAUACAUACGAAUAGAAAUUAUGGUAUAAGAUACAGCUUCAUAAUUAUUAAAUAAAUCUGGUGAUGUCGUUGCAAUGAAUGAGAUCUGAGGUAUAAACUGACAGAUAAGCACAGAUUAUUGUACUUUUGCAAUCAAAAGUAAAUACGACAGCAAAAUCAAUCAUUUCUUUUGAAAUAAUUGUACUACGUCCUGAUCUGUAAAAACAAAAGAGCAGAUUGAAAUUAGUCAAUGUAAUAAACAGACUUCAUUGAAAAUACUUAGUAUUCAAAAGCAUGAUAAUUUAUGAUACGACUUUAUAAAAAUGGUUGUUCUGCAAGUGGUGUAAGGAUAAAAGUCAACAUUACCUUCCUUUUUAACACUCCAUUUUAUUAAGGCUGCCCAUAUCCAGUGAACAGGAAAAAACCCACAUAGGUUAGAAAACCAUGUCAGAUUUACGAACUGAAGGUACAUUCUCCGUUUAGUUCCCAGUAGACUUCUGUCAGUCAGAUAAUGAUAUUUUGUCAAGCAGGUCUCAGUUCUUUUCCUUAGCUGGGUGCCUGUUUUAGACUGAGCGGAAUCGCCCGUGGCAGGGAAAGGUAUUGCUUUUGCUCUGUGGGUACAGCGGCUGAAUUCUUAUCCUGGAGCCUCUUGAGAGCACGGACUCGCUUAACCCAAGCUUGUGAAAUUCGGUAUUAAAAAGCUGCAUUUACCGUUAGCCAGAUGAGCUAGCUGAACACUGCGUUCUGUUGUCAGUUCUUUUUUCCUUGUUCAGUCUUAAAACCUCUGCCGUUUUUCUGCUGCUCUUUUCGUUCUGUAUGAAAGGGAUGCAAGUGCUGAAAACUGCUGGCAGCCCUGAUGAUAUACCUCUCAGCCAGCAAACAAUUC